GGAUGUGAGGGUGAUCUGGCUGUGACAUCUGUCACCCCGUUGAUUGCCAGUGUUUAUUUGGCUGAUCUGGCUGGCUAGGAGGGUGUCCCCUUCCUCAGCGCUCCAUGUGUGUCCUUCCUGGAGCUGUGCACUUGGUCAAAAAGGAUGAUCACCGCUGGUACAGGAAGACCAAAAGUUCCUUUGUUCUUUGCAUGUACCCUUGCUAUGUGACCAGCUUCCCUACUGGAUCAGUGUGAGCUAACCAGUUAUACUUGUAAUCCUAUAGGUUCUCUAUUGCUUGAACCACAUU
rnacentral:sRNA from 1 species